rnacentral:rRNA from 1 species
GCGGCAUGCUGAUCCGCGAUUACUAGCGAUUCCAACUUCAUGCACUCGAGUUGCAGAGUACAAUCCGAACUGAGACGACUUUUAAGGAUUGGCUCCCCCUCGCGGGAUUGCUGCCCUCUGUAGUCGCCAUUGUAGCACGUGUGUAGCCCACCUUGUAAGGGCCAUGAGGACUUGACGUCAUCCCCACCUUCCUCCGGCUUACCACCGGCAGUCCUGCUAGAGUGCCCAGCUUAACCUGAUGGCAACUAACAGCGAGGGUUGCGCUCGUUGCGGGACUUAACCCAACAUCUCACGACACGAGCUGACGACAGCCAUGCAGCACCUGUGUCCCUGUCCCCGAAGGGAAAACCACAUCUCUGUGGCGAUCAAGGCAUGUCAAAAGGU